AGUCACUCCCUGACUAGUAAGGGAGGAGGACUAGCUCCUGAGCUAAGGAGCAGCAUUUUGGACAGAGAGGUGCUGGGAAGGCUUGGGAGAGCAGAGCGGCCCGGCCCAACUCUGGCCCAGAUACUUGCCAGGCUGCAGCCCUUGCUAAGAGGGGUUGAGAAGGUGCAUAGGGCCAAAGGGGAAGUGGCCCAGGGAAAUAGGCAGGGGAAAGAAGGAGGCUGCUGCUAGAGGGUCCCUGGGUUGGGACCCAGAGUAGUGGGUGGGCCUGGGUCCCCCUUUUCUCCCCCGCCCUUUGUACUGGCCAUGGAGGAGGGAGGCCGAGACAGAUUGUGGCCUGACCCUGAGACAAGAGGCUAGACUCUAGGGUUGUGGUUGGCCACUAAGGCAGGGACAAACAGAAGAACUGCUGUUAACAAUGCACCCCCCUGGAAGGGGGAGAGACCAGAGUGGUGGGCACUGCUGGAGGGCAGUGUCCUGAAGUGGAUGCAGAGUGUCCUGUAGAGGAUGCCGUCGGGCAGGGAGCAAUGCAGGUCCCAGGACAGUGGAGCAGAGACAACGGGUGAGCUACCAUGCAUCGAGGAUGCCCUGCAGCGGUCAAGAGCUAAUUCUCAGAGUGAGCAGUGGGAGGCGUCAGCAGUGAGCUUAGCACAAUGGGGUCCUGUUCCAUCACCGGAAAUCUUUCAACUUGCUGGUGUGGUUUGACUCCUGUGGCACCUGCUCGUGGAUCUUGGUCCGUGCCUUGCCAUAGUCCCAGGCUCCUUCAGACAGGGCAGUCAUAUGGUUGGUGCAGCUGAACCCCACAACAAUUCUUGGCUGCAGUCACUCAGUUACCUCACUUGCCAGAGGAUCAUAGGUCUCCUUCACAGUCUCCCUUGGCUGGGACACAGAAUGUACUCCCUGGUGGCUGCCUUGGCUGGCAGGCUAGUGAUGCUUCCUAUCACGUAGGGCGGUAGCUAGCUCCUGACUUUCCCCAGUUAGCCCUAAACUGAGCCAGGCGCUCUCAUUUCCUCUCCCGUCCAGGCCUGGCACUGGCUGCAGGUAUAAUGGGGGGGAGAUAGCUGGGACCAAAGUCUCUCCUUAACCCCAGCCAUGCUAUUGGCCAGUUUCUCUGCUUCAUCACACUGUUAUUAUGAAUUAUUAGUAGUGUGGUAGAACUGAGGAGCCCCGCCAUGAAUGCUAUUGUGAAAGGUACUGUAUAGACACAGAAUAAAAAGCCAGUCCCAUACAAAUUUCUUUUGAACUGACUACUUUGAAAAACUGUAGCCUUAGCAGACAUUUUUAAUUUUUUCAUAUUUUGGACUGCAUUUUUUACAAGUUGAAGCAAGAUGGAUAUGGUUUCCCUCCACACUUCUGCCAUGGGGCCUUUUCCUCUGCUAGCAAUAUCCCUUUCAUUCCAUAAGGACCCCCUGUGUGUGCAGUGUUUUCUUUCUGAUGUGGACUAACAUCCAUUACACACUAGACCGAGAAUCUAUUUCGUUUGUGAUAUAAAUCAUAAACUUCAUAGAUUGCAAUAAAGCAUUUGACAGU